rnacentral:rRNA from 1 species
UACGGGGGGGGGCAAGCGUUGUUCGGAAUUACUGGGCGUAAAGGGCUCGUAGGCGGCCAACUAAGUCAGACGUGAAAUCCCUCGGCUUAACCGGGGAACUGCGUCUGAUACUGGAUGGCUCGAGAUUGGGAGAGGGAUGCGGAAUUCCAGGUGUAGCGGUGAAAUGCGUAGAUAUCUGGAGGAACACCGGUGGCGAAGGCGGCAUCCUGGACCAACACUGACGCUGAGGAGCGAAAGCCAGGGGAGCAAACGGG